rnacentral:sRNA from 1 species
CAGGAGCAGAAACUUACGGCCACAUUUGUAACCGAUGGGGCGGUUGGCGAUGGCGCAGCGCUUGGGGAUGGUCAUGGCCACGGCGGGCUUGACGCCGGCGCUCCGCGCGGUGUUCGACAGCAUGACGGCGCACAGGCACUUGGGGUUCCGCCC